UACAGAGGUCUCAAGCGUUGUUCGGAUUCAUUGGGCGUAAAGGGUGCGUAGGUGGCGGGGUAAGUCAGGUGUGAAAUUUCGGAGCUUAACUCCGAAACUGCAUUUGAUACUGCGGUGCUUGAGGACUGGAGAGGAGACUGGAAUUUACGGUGUAGCAGUGAAAUGCGUAGAGAUCGUAAGGAAGACCAGUGGCGAAGGCGGGUCUCUGGACAGUUCCUGACGCUGAGGCACGAAGGCCAGGGGAGCAAACGGG
rnacentral:rRNA from 1 species